rnacentral:rRNA from 1 species
UACGAAGGGGGCUAGCGUUGUUCGGAUUUACUGGGCGUAAAGCGCACGUAGGCGGAUCGUUAAGUCGGGGGUGAAAUCCUGGAGCUCAACUCCAGAACUGCCUUCGAUACUGGCGAUCUUGAGUCCGGAAGAGGUGAGUGGAACUCCUAGUGUAGAGGUGGAAUUCGUAGAUAUUAGGAAGAACACCAGUGGCGAAGGCGGCUCACUGGUCCGGUACUGACGCUGAGGGUGCGAAAAGCGUGGGGGAGCAAGCAGGG